rnacentral:misc_RNA from 1 species
GAUGAAGAACGUAUCGAAAUGCGAUAAGUAAUGUGAAUUGCAGAAUUCAGUGAAUCAUCGAAUCUUUGAACGCACAUUGCGCCCGCCAGCAUUCUGGCGGGCAUGCCUGUUCGAGCGUCAUUUCAACCCUCGAGCCCCCCCGGGGGCCUCGGUGUUGGGGGACGGCACACCAGCCGCCCCCGAAAUGCAGUGGCGACCCCGCCGCAGCCUCCCCUGCGUAGUAGCACACACCUCGCACCGGAGCGCGGAGGCGGUCACGCCGUAAAACGCCCAACUUUCUUAGAGUUGACCUCGGAUCAGGUAGGAAUACCCGCUGAACUUAAGCAUAUCAAUAAGCGGAGGA